rnacentral:lncRNA from 1 species
CUGGCCCAGGCCGCUGCUGUACGGUGAGUCCCAGGGAGGCGAAUCUGGGCGCCUGGAAGGACACCCUCCUGGAUUUGCCCCGUAGGCCCGGCCCGGGCCCCUCGGGAGCAGAACAGCCUUGGUGAGGUGGACAAGAGGGGACCUUGCGAGCAGACGCGCGCCAGCGACAGCAGCCCCGCCCCGGCAUCUGGGGAGCCCCAGGAGGAUACGUCUUUGGAUUUUCGGGCCCGCAGCGAGAAGGGCCUGGGUGAAGUCACCGUGUGUUCGGGACCUUAGAGUAUGGGGCGGGGGAGGGUCCCGAUCGCUUGCAAGAGAGGCGUGUGUUUGGGUUUGAGGCGCUACACGGGAAGAUAUGGGAGGACGAGGCUUACUGGGGCGUGGAGGGUGUCACCAGCCUCAGCUGCAGACGUCGUCUCCACUCCCCCCAACCCCUAACAGCCCUUCCUCCUCCUUUCCGUGCUCCAGAUUUCGACCGCCUCUAAACAUCCGUCAGCACCUCUGUUCUCUCAUUUAAGUGUCUGCUGAUUCCCCCCUUAGAUCUGCCCUGGGGACUGGUAGUAAUGCAGGAACAGUCUGCAGGGAUUCUCUCUUGCUGCCUCAGUUGCUAGGGGAAGAGACUGGGCCUUAGCAGGUCUACCAGCCACAGUCUCUGCACGUUUCCAAGAGCAGCAGAAAAUGAACACAUUGCAGUCGAAUCCAGCGGGCAUUUUCUAGCCCCUACCUCCCAGGACCCUUUGUCUGCCUUUGACAUCUGUUACUUCCAAACUGAUACUUUCUCCAUGGAGUCUCUCUUUUCUUGGCUUUUAAAAAGAUUCGUCUGUAAGUAUUUCUGCUUGUCUUUAAAUGAUGAAGUCUGUUUUGUUCUGUUUCUUUUUUCCUUUUUUUUGAGAUAAGGUCUUGCUGU